GAGAGAGAGAGACACGGGGAGAAGAAGGGGAGCUAACCCGGUCGUCGUAGUCGACUCACAACAACACUAGCAGACGCGAAAAGUGGAAGUUUUUUUGAAAGAGGGCGGUAAAGAAAAGAGAGUUCGUUCGUUGUUCCGCCACUCCCACCCACCACCACCUAACUCGCGCCUGCACGCGAUAAAUUAUCGUCUGCUGAUUGUGAUUGGGAAGCGUUUCGAAGAUCUACAGCAUCUGUGUUUACAAGUUGUGUUUAUUAAUUGGAAAUCUCUUUUUUUUUUUCGCCGGCUUGCUACCGGAGCCAAUCUAGAUAUAUCUAUCGUCUGCUGUGUUGUUAUAUUUAUAAUAUUCAUCAAGUUUGUGCAUAUAUAUCAGUGAGAAGUGUGUUUGUUUGUUUGUUUGUGAGUGUGUUCGCCACGAUAAUAUUAUCUUCCAUAUACUUCCUGGAAUUUUUCUUCUGUUCUUCUUCGUUCGUGUUGAUAAUUUGUUUAUUCUGGAGUUAAUUGCUUUCGUCAUCUGCGCUUUGGUGUGCUGCUGAAAAAAAGUGAAGUUCCUUGGAAUAACUUCCGCUUUUUUGUGUGUGUCUUUGGAUUAUAUUUCCCAUCGCCAAGAUUUGAUUAAAGGUGUGUUCUAUCCCACCUUGGGAAAAAAUUGAAAGGGGUUUUCUUUUCAGAGUUCCCUGCUCAACCGAGGUCCACACAAAGACUUGCAAAUUACACAUCGUCCUUUUUCCUCUUCUGAUCCACUGGACCGACCGCCUCAUUAAAUAACUGUUGAUAGUGACGUAAAACACAUGCACUUCCUUUUUUUUAAAUUAACUGAUUUACUUCAGAAAAAUACGUGGAUACAUUUGACUUCGACAUACCACCACCAUCAUCAGCAGGAUCAGCAAGAACAUUAAAGUUUCUGGAGUCAUCGACAGAUCUAAUCGUCAGUCGCUCUGAGGAUUCCGCGAAGGAGAAUUCAACUUACAGUUGACAGAGAUUGUUUCGUCAUCUCCUUUGUCAGCGCGAGUAAGUGUUGCAGAAACCGCUCUGGUGUUCUGAUUUUUGAAAAAAA